GUUUUUGCUCCUCUGGGAUUGGGAGCAGAAAAAGAACAUCUUUUUACUUUACUGUUCAUGGUGUAAUCCUGUGCCUGACAGCUGUAGCUGCUGACCUAGCUUACGUACACUGGCCACUAAUGUACUUGAGGAGUCACAAUCUAAAUGCUGAGUCUCUCAAAGGCAUAGAGAGAAUUUCAGAGGGCCUUACCAUGAUGUGGGGAUUAAACUCCAGCUCUGACUUUUCUAUUCUUGCCCAAUUCUCAUCACCAAAUCCUUAUUCCAUGCCUCUUAUUGUAUUAGUCUUCCCCUUUCCUAGAGGAAUGUCCUUCUGGGUAAGAUCAGCAAGAUAACUCUUCAGUCACAUUCCGUUUGAUCCUUUGAAUACACCAGGGUCCUUACCCACCAAAUGGAUGGAGUCCAGCUGCUCAAUCUCUGUCUUUCCCAGAGCUCUGCUGUCCAUCCACAAUUCCCUUCCCCCUACUCAUGCAGGGAUAGGGUUAUAUUGGCAAAAGGCUGCCUGGACAGCCUGCUAACAGUAAACAAAGUCUUAGUCUCUCUCACCUUCUCGAAGGCAUUUCUAGUCUUUAAAAGCUUUUCUCCUAGCUUUUCCCUUUCCUGUUCCUGCUUUGAUUCUAAGAAUGAAGAGCCUCCUUCUCCUUUUCUUCAUUAGGUGAAAUAGGAUUCACCCAUUACCAUAUAUUCACCACCAGGUCACUGACAAGAGACUCCAGUGAAUCUCUUUCCCUCUGCAUUUCUCUCCUUAAGCCUAGGCUAGUAGAGGGUUACAUCGUAUAAAACCUAAAAAAGCCUUGCAAAGAAGUCUGGCCCCACCAGUGAGCACAAAGUCAGUAGUUCUCUUUAGAGUGAGGUGGUACUCAGUGCCUCUUGGUUUCAGCUGUGGUCCUAGUGGCUAAUUAUGGAAGAAUAGGAAUAGUCUCACAAAAUCCUGUAACAUCAGCUUAUUUCUUUAUUAUAUGCAACCCAUAACCAUAAAGACACCAGGAUGUAGACUCCUUGAAGGCAGCAAUUAUGGGCCCCUCUCUGUGGGGGAACAGUGAAUAGAAGAGAGAAAUAACUCAAUAUGUGGAAUGACUGAUAUGGUUUCGCUGUGUCCCCACCCAAAUCUCAUCUUGAAUUGUAGUUCCAGUAAUCCCCAUGUGUCAUGGGAGGAACCCAGUGGGAGGCAAUUGAAUCAUUGGGGUGGUUUCCCCUUUGAUAUUCUCAUGAUAGUGAGUAAAUUAUCACAUGAUCUCAUAGUUAUAUAAAAGAGCUUCCCCUUUCACUCAGCUCUCAUUCUUCUCCUUCCUGCCACUGUGUGAGAUAUACAUGUUUGCUUCCCCUUUGGCCAUGAUCGUAAGUAUCUUGAGACCUUUCCAGCCAUGCAGAACUGUAGAUCAAUUAAACUUCUUUACUUUAUAAAU